rnacentral:rRNA from 1 species
CCUACGGGUGGCUGCAGUGAGGAAUAUUGGUCAAUGGCCGAGAGUCUGAACCAGCCAAGUAGCGUGAAGGAAGACUGUCCUAUGGAUUGUAAACUUCUUUUAUCAAGGAAUAAAGUCACGCACGUGUGCCUUUUUGCAUGUACUUUAUGAAAAAUGAUCGGCUAACUCCGUGCCAGCAGCCACGGUAAUACGGAGGAUCCGAUCGUUAUCCGGAUUUAUUGGGUUUAAAGGGAGCGUAGACGGGUUGUUAAGUCAGGUGGGAAAUUUUGCGGCUCAAACGUAAAAUUGCAAUUGAUACUGUCAGUCUUGAGUACAUGUGAGGUAGGCGGAAUUCGUGGUGUAGCGGUGAAAUGCUUAGAUAUCACGAAGAACCCCGAUUGCGAAGGCAGCUUACUAAACUGCGACUGACAUUGAUGCUCGAAAGUGUGGGUAUCAAACAGGAUUAGAUACCCGAGUAGUC